CGGGUAUUUGCUCUGGCAUUACGAUCAGCCUAUCUCGUAACUGGUCGACUGUGGCCAUCGUUUCUCAGUUGCAGAAUUCAAAGGAAAAAUGAAUUCCCUUUCCGCAACUGGAUUCUACCCUAAAUAUCCAGUUCUUCACUACAUAAAACGACGUCGUUCUAGCCCCAGAGCACCCGCCCUAUUCUCCACCCUCAAAGCUUCCCCUCCGACUGAAAAUGGAAUUUCCGGAGAUGAUGUUUUGCGAGCAUUCCUGAAGGAAAGGAAAUUAAGUGGUGAUUUUAUAGCAAAAAUCUGUGAUGAAAUUUGGCUCAAGGCUGUUGUUGGAAAUUCCAAUUUUUUUGAAGAUUCUGACGAAAUUGAUUCUAGCUGGAAAUUUAAUGCCCAACAGUUAUUGGAUGAGGAAGAAGAAGGUGGGUUUUUGAAAUUGAAAAUAACCAGUGAAUGGCUUUUGGGCGAAGAUAGCACGGCACCAAUGAACAAGAAGAUGGCUGCCAAGAUAGCACGAGACGACAGCGAGAGAAGGAAAAGACUAAAUUUUCUCAGAUACGAAGCUCUGAAGAGGGAGCUGCUUCUUUUGACCGUGGCUAUUGGAACUGCAUGUAGUGGAUACUGUCUCGUAGCUUUGUCGGUCCAGGCUGCUGUGAGCUACGCAACAGGAGUUUCUUUCAGUUGCUUGUACUUUCAACUACUAUGCAAAUAUGCGGACAAUCUGUCGCGAGAAAUGGUUCCAGACAUUUUCACCAAAAGGAGGGCAAAAAAGAUCGGAAUAAGAAGCGAGGAUCUAGAAGUUGCUUUCGAGAAAACAGUGAAGGGUAUUAGUAUUGCUCUUUCUUCUCCAAGGCUCGUAUUUCCCGCUGCAAUUUACGCUCUAUGGGAACUCUCCCAACAUUUCGGUCAUGAAAUUUUUGAAUUUCAGCUAACACCAGCAAUGGUUGGGCUAUUUGCUUAUAAAGCGGCAGCACUUGUGCAAGUCUAUAGAGACAACGAAGACCUUGAAUUAAUCUUUCCCGAAAAUUAAGUGACUAAUUAAGUGCGGAAUUUUUGUAUAAAGAGAUGAUGGUGACUUCAUUUUUGGCUUCGUUGGAAGGAGUUUGAUUCUUCCGAGAAGACCUCGGCUAGUAGGUUUUUACAUGUACAAGAAUCAAGAAUGACGUAUCUGCCAAUUACGGAACGGAACGGAACCUUCUAGAGUUCAGACAUUGUGUCUGCCAUUCGAAUCAACGACAUCGUAGGAGUUGAAACUUAACAUUAAAGUAUUAUAUGUAAAAAUCUUUCUCUGUCUAGUUUUUUUCACUUUUGCAAAAUGUUUCUUCUUUUUUUUCUUGGUUCAUAGUGCAGAAUUUCUUGAGAUGGGGAUGUAUGUAUAGAACAGUUUUAUAGCUACUUCAUAUUGAUUCACUGUUUAUUUGUUGGGGGUAAAUUACAGCCACUCCA